rnacentral:lncRNA from 1 species
GACCGACUCUUUCAGGGUUUUUCCGACUUCCGACCUUGUGUGGCGUCUUUCUGAACUCCCUCGACCGUCUGAGCUUCCAUAUUACCAUCCGAACUUCUUCGAUAAUGAGCUCCUCCAUUCACAUACCGGGCUGCUCCAAAUGCUCUUUGGGCUUCAAUAUCAGUCGAUUUUCUGUAGUGAUCGACUAUUCUCCAAAUCUUAUCUAGACUUCUUCCAGCCACGAUCGACUCUACUCCAAACUUCCUCCAG